AAAGAUAUGCAUCGUCUGCUUUCUUGAAAUGACGUCUUUUAUGACGACUGGCAUACCCAUUAACGGCACCAGGCGGGUGGCAGGAACAAAGGAGUUUCGCCGACACAACAGCCGCUACUCGUGAGCAGAGCUCAGGUGACUCAAAGACAGUGUGCAGCGACACAGACGGCAGACAGCUCAGUCUUGCUUAAGCCGCUAAAAGCAUUUUGCCACCAACUCUCCUGAACUAAACCCAGACGAGACACAUUAGACUACUGAUGAAAAUGGAUUUCAACAGUCCUCAAACAACAGACCAGGCAGACUUGCGCUAUGAUUUUGUUGCGUUGUUUACGAAAUCAAAGGAGAAACCCAAGAGGAAGUAACUCUAGAUGUCUGAAAGAAAGGGUUACGUGGCCGCAGUCACCUGCGUUGCGUUUACUCCGACAAUUUGGGUACGUGUGUUAUUUUCUCUUACUUGGCAGCACUGUCUCGAGA